UCCGGUCUCGUUUCCGUCACUCAUUGUUUUGGCGUGAGCCUGGGCUGCGUUGGUUGCCGAGGGGCCGCAGAUGAAUCGUGAGGGUAAGCAUUUGGUCUGUAGUAUUUACUUGCAAUUGCGGUUGUGAUUUGGAAAUUAUAGCGCCAUUUCCCUCUUGCAGUGCGGCGUUCACUCAGCACUUGUGAUCGCUUGGGAGCGCACUGAUAAACUCCAAGGAGCUAGGAGCUGUGUGGACACUGGUUGGCCUGCUCGUGGAAGUAGUUGGUGUGGCGUGGUGAUCCUCGAAAGCGUUGUGCUGGUGACUCGCGUGUCUGAGCCUUCAUCCGCGGCCCCUCCGGCACGAACCAACCAGUGUGUCUGUGCCUACGGGUCUGUCGGCUGCUGUUUCGCCUGGGACAAUUUGGGUUUGAGUCUCCCUUUGCUUUGCACCUGCAGCGCUGUGGCUUGGCCGUGCUUCGCUGGGUACGGGGAGGAAUUGCGCUCGUAGCCACGCUUGCCCCUUCACCUCGCUUUGCCUGCACGGAGCGUGCAUGUCUGUCGUAACUGUCCGAGGGUGCGCGGUUUCAGUGGCUCCGCCUGCUUUUAACCCCUUUUGUGCUGUGCGUUAUUUAUUUUCAUUUCAUUUAUUUCUGCAUGUUUAUUGUGUGUCUUUAUUUUCGUUUGCUGUGCUACUGCAUGCUUAUUUGUUUGCUGUGCUUCUGCAUGCUGCUUACUCUGCUAGGUUUGCUGCUUUGCAUGACUCAUU